AGUGAACGCUGGCGGUAGGCCUAACACAUGCAAGUCGAACGGCAGCACAGUAAGAGCUUGCUCGUACGGGUGGCGAGUGGCGGACGGGUGAGGAAUACAUCGGAAUCUACUUUUUCGUGGGGGAUAACGUAGGGAAACUUACGCUAAUACCGCAUACGACCUACGGGUGAAAGCAGGGGAUCUUCGGACCUUGCGCGAUUGAAUGAGCCGAUGUCGGAUUAGCUAGUUGGCGGGGUAAAGGCCCACCAAGGCGACGAUCCGUAGCUGGUCUGAGAGGAUGAGCGGCCACACUGGAACUGGGAGACGGUCCAGACUCCUACGGGAGGCAGCAGUGGGGAAUAUUGGACAAUGGGCGCAAGCCUGAUCCAGCCAUACCGCGUGGGUGAAGAAGGCCUUCGGGUUGUAAAGCCCUUUUGUUGGGAAAGAAAAGCAGCAGGUUAAUACCCCGCUGUUCUGACGGUACCCAAAGAAUAAGCACCGGCUAACUUCGUG
rnacentral:rRNA from 1 species